rnacentral:rRNA from 1 species
UACGGAGGGUGCAAGAGUUAUCCGGAUUUAUUGGGUUUAAAGGGUCCGUAGGCGGGCCCGUAAGUCAGUGGUGAAAUCUCGCAGCUUAACUGCGAAACUGCCAUUGAUACUGCGGGUCUUGAGUGAAUUUGAAGUGGCUGGAAUAAGUAGUGUAGCGGUGAAAUGCAUAGAUAUUACUUAGAACACCGAUUGCGAAGGCAGGUCACUAAGAUUCAACUGACGCUGAGGGACGAAAGCGUGGGGAGCGAACAGGAUUAGAUACCCUGGUAGUCCACGCCGUAAACGAUGCUAACUCGUUUUCGGGCCGCAAGGCUCGGAGACCAAGCGAAAGUGAUAAGUUAGCCACCUGGGGAGUACGUCCGCAAGGAUGAAACUCAAAGGAAUUGACGGGGGCCCGCACAAGCGGUGGAUUAUGUGGUUUAAUUCGAUGAUACCGCGAGGAACCUUACCAAGACUUAAAUGGGAAUUGACAGAUUUAGAAAUAGAUCCUCCUUCGGGCAAUUUUCAAGGUGCUGCAUGGUUGUCGUCAGCUCGUGCCGUGAGGUGUUAGGUUAAGUCCUGCAACGAGCGCAACCCCUGUCACUAGUUGCCAUCAUUCAGUUGGGGACUCUAGUGAGACUGCCUACGCAAGUAGAGAGGAAGGUGGGGAUGACGUCAAAUCAUCACGGCCCUUACGUCUUGGGCCACACACGUAAUACAAUGGCCGGUACAGAGGGCAGCUACCACGCGAGUGGAUGCGAAUCUCGAAAGCCGGUCUCAGUUCGGAUUGGAGUCUGCAACUCGACUCUAUGAAGCUGGAAUCGCUAGUAAUCGCGCAUCAGCCAUGGCGCGGUGAAUACGUUCCCGGGCCUUGUACACACCGCCCGUCAAGCCAUGGAAGUCUGGGGUACCUGAAGUCGGUGACCGUAAAAGGAGCUGCCUAGGGUAAAACAGGUAACUAGGGCU